rnacentral:rRNA from 1 species
UCCGUAGGGUGCGAGCGUUAAUCGGAAUUACUGGGCGUAAAGCGUGCGCAGUCGGUUCGUUAUGUCCGAUGUGAAAGCCCCGAGCUUAACUUGGGAAUGGCAUUGGAAACUGGCGGGCUGGAGUGCGGCAGAGGGGGGUGGAAUUCCACGUGUAGCAGUGAAAUGCGUAGAGAUGUGGAGGAACACCGAUGGCGAAGGCAGCCCCCUGGGCCGACACUGACGCUCAGGCACGAAAGCGUGGGGAGCAAACAGG